rnacentral:tRNA from 2 species
AGGCCACUAGUUCAACUGGUAGAGCGUCGGUCUCCAAAACCGAAUGUUGGGGGUUCGAGUCCCUCGUGGCCUGCCA